rnacentral:lncRNA from 1 species
UUUAAAAGACGAUAAACAGUCACGUAGUAAAAAAGGAUUUGGGCUGAGAGUGAAAAGCAGUCACCUUCCCGUCGGAGAGCGGAUGCACAUCAGAAAUCAGGCGGGAGAGAAAUAUCUAACAGCGCUGGGCAUAAUGUGAUUAUACCUAAGCCGUCGGUGGGUACGCCGAGCUCACUACGAUCAGGACUCCCUUCGACUCCCGGCGGGGAGCCUUGCGCAGCCCGUCGCCGCCGCCGCGCUGCCGCGGCUGGAAGAGGUCCUGGCCAGAAACAGGAAGAUGUCAGAGCGGGGAGUGACAAGCGACAAAACAGUCGUCAUCUAUUUUUUUUUUCUCUCUCUCAGUUUCCCCUUAGUUUUAUGGUCACUGCAACUAAUCACAGUCCUUUGAUUAUUUAUGCUUCUUCAGCCGUGGCAACAAAAAGUGGCCAGCCUCUGCCCUUGACUUUUUUCCUCGGUUCCCAUAUUUUCCAGCUACAUGCAUUGUUUGCUUAAAAAAUUACAUCGCAUACAGUGCUGAACUGCAACACUUGUCGGAGGGUUCGUCUGAAAGCAUCACAACUCGGGCAUUAGCCGACACGAAAAAAAAAAAAAGAAAAAAAAAAAGGAAACAUAGGAAAAAACCUCGUUUUUUUAACAUAUUCAAUAAUGGGAAGUUCUUA